rnacentral:rRNA from 1 species
UACGAGUGCCCCAAGCGUUAUCCGGAAUUAUUGGGCGUAAAGGGUCAGUAGGCGGUUUUGUUAGUCUUCUGUCAAAUUCUUCGGCUUAACCGGGGGUCCGCAGGGGAAACGGCAAAACUCGAGGAUGCGAGAGGUGAAUGGAACUCAUAGUGUAGGGGUGAAAUCCGUUGAUAUUAUGGGGAACACCAAAAGCGAAGGCAAUUCACUGGCGCACUCCUGACGCUGAAUGACGAAAGCGUGGGUAGCGAAUGGG